rnacentral:rRNA from 1 species
UGGGGAAUUUUGCGCAAUGGGCGAAAGCCUGACGCAGCAACGCCGCGUGAGUGAUGAAGGCCUUCGGGUCGUAAAGCUCUGUCAGUGGGAAAGAAGUGUGGGAGGGCUAAUAUCCCUAUCACUUGACGGUACCCACAAAGGAAGCACCGGCUAACUCCGUGCCAGCAGCCGCGGUAAUACGGAGGGUGCGAGCGUUGUUCGGAAUUAUUGGGCGUAAAGCGCGUGUAGGCGGCUCCUUAAGUCUGAUGUGAAAGCCCCGGGCUCAACCUGGGAAGUGCAUUGGGAACUGGGGAACUUGAAUACGGGAGAGGGUAGUGGAAUUCCUGGUGUAGGAGUGGAAUCCGUAGAUAUCAGGAGGAACACCGGUGGCGAAGGCGGCUACCUGGACCGAUAUUGACGCUGAGACGCGAAAGCGUGGGGAGCAAACAGG